rnacentral:lncRNA from 1 species
UUUUGUACUUGUAUGCAGAAGACACUAAACACAUUAUAUGAUUCAACAUUGGUUCUAAGAACUUUAACCCAAGUCCAUUUACUAAAUUCAUCAACUGUGACAAGUCCAUAUUUCUUCCCAUUGAUUGAUGCAGUACUAAUAGGACAAAACAAAUCAAUGUCAAGCAGUUCUAAGGGUCUGAAGGUAUAGACAAAGUUUUUUAGUUUUAAAAGAGGAUUUGG